AGCAGCCGCGGUAAUUCCAGCUCCAAUAGCGUAUAUUAAAGUUGUUGCAGUUAAAAAGCUCGUAGUUGAAUUUCGGGAUCAAUACGUCGGUCGUGCUUCGGUACGUACUGGCGUCAUUGAUUUCUCCCUUCUGACGAACCAUGAUGUCAUUAACUUGGUGUCAUGGGAAAUCAGGACUGUUACUUUGAAAAAAUUAGAGUGUUUAAAGCAGGCUCACGCUUGAAUACAUUAGCAUGGAAUAAUGAAAUAGGACGUUUGAUCCUAUUUUGUUGGUUUCUAGGAUUGACGUAAUGAUUAAUAGGGAUAGUUGGGGGCAUUAGUAUUCAAUUGUCAGAGGUGAAAUUCUUGGAUUUAUUGAAGACUAACUACUGCGAAAGCAUUUGCCAAGGAUGUUUUCAUUAAUCAAGAACGAAAGUUAGGGGAUCGAAGACGAUCAGAUACCGUCGUAGU
rnacentral:rRNA from 1 species